rnacentral:rRNA from 1 species
GUACACUCCUGCGGGAGGCAGCAGUGGGGAAUUUUGGACAAUGGGCGAAAGCCUGAUCCAGCAAUGCCGCGUGAGUGAAGAAGGCCUUCGGGUUGUAAAGCUCUUUUGUCAGGGAAGAAACGGUGAGAGCUAAUAUCUCUUGCUAAUGACGGUACCUGAAGAAUAAGCACCGGCUAACUACGUGCCAGCAGCCGCGGUAAUACGUAGGGUGCAAGCGUUAAUCGGAAUUACUGGGCGUAAAGCGUGCGCAGGCGGUUUUGUAAGUCUGAUGUGAAAUCCCCGGGCUCAACCUGGGAAUUGCAUUGGAGACUGCAAGGCUAGAAUCUGGCAGAGGGGGGUAGAAUUCCACGUGUAGCAGUGAAAUGCGUAGAUAUGUGGAGGAACACCGAUGGCGAAGGCAGCCCCCUGGGUCAAGAUUGACGCUCAUGCACGAAAGCGUGGGGAGCAAACAGGAUUAGAUACCCGAGUAGUCCC